UACGAAGGGUGCAAGCGUUACUCGGAAUUACUGGGCGUAAAGCGUGCGUAGGUGGUGAGUUAAGUCUGAUGUGAAAUCCCCGGGCUCAACCUGGGAAUGGCAUUGGAUACUGGCUCGCUCGAGUGCGGUAGAGGGUGGUGGAAUUCCCGGUGUAGCAGUGAAAUGCGUAGAUAUCAGGAGGAACACCUGUGGUGUAGACAGCUUACUGGACCAUUUCUGACGCUGAGACACGAAAGCGUGGGUAGCAAACAGG
rnacentral:rRNA from 1 species